UACGUAGGGGGCAAGCGUUGUCCGGAUUUAUUGGGCGUAAAGAGCGUGUAGGCGGCCAGACAGGUCCGUUGUGAAAACUCGAGGCUCAACCUCGAGACGUCGAUGGAAACCGUCUGGCUAGAGUCCGGAAGAGGAGAGUGGAAUUCCUGGUGUAGCGGUGAAAUGCGCAGAGAUCGGGAGGAACACCUGCGGCGAAAGCGGCUCACUGGACCAUAACUGACGCUGAUGCACGAAAGCUAGGGGAGCAAACAGG
rnacentral:rRNA from 1 species